AGUACUAAGGACAUCUCAGUCACAGAUUUGGGUUUUUUUUUACCAAAAAUGGCGCAAAGACUAGCAAACAAGAAGCUCUUGUGCAAGGUACAAGUCGUAGGCUGUUUUGAUCAAACCAUGGCUCAGGUAGUCGAAGCCCAUCAAAUGUGAUACGGAAGUAUAAUAUAUAUACAUAUUUUUUUUUAAUAAGCAAUACUUCUUUCUUAUUAUAUUGUUAACUAUCCGAUGAAUUCAAGUUUUCUUAAUGGCAAAACUUUAUGUUUCCAGCCCCAAAAAAAUUUAUUCAUUGUAUUUACAAAAAGGUAUCGUUGACGAGUAUGAAUUUUUUUUUUUUUAAUUUUCGUCCCCACUCCAUACUUUUUCACCGCUCAUCCAUAUUUUAAAAUUUUCGGCAACCCACAAAUUUGAACUAUCUCCCUGCAAGACGGAGGUAACCAUUUCGCAAGUAAUAUCGUACGAUUUCGGCGUUUUACCACUACAUUCACUACUAUCUCACAGUUUCUGUGGAAAGGCUACUAAAUAUACACAUAAUUCAAAUACGGCAUUUGAAAAUGCUCUGCCAUUCAUUUUUUUAUUUAAAGACGCUUAGAGAUUGAUUCAAUGAUUCCGACACAGUACCAAAGAUCGAUAGCGAAAAUCCAAGAAAUAAGAUUAAUUUAAUGGAUUCAAGCCCAACGGAGUUCAAGCAGCCAAAUUAGUUGCCGUCUUCGUUUACAAUACAUAGCAAAAUACUCGAUAUGGCCGCCACAUCAGCACACCUUGACUGAUUCCUCAUUCUACACAGCAAUUCAUUGUUUUGGAAGAAUUACAGAUACAUGAAAUCCUUCAGCAAAUAGCGGACGUAAGCUCUGCCCAAAGCCUUAGAUUCGAUUAGUAUACUUCUUCUUUGCUGUAAGCGAUCUACCUGACACGAUUAACACCGAGUUAAUAACACCUUCGGUUUAGCCAGCUUCUACUCCACAUGAUCUUUCCAACGGAGUGGAGGUCUUCCGCUGUCUUUUAAUAAUUUAAUUACACGAAAACUUAGUCCAAAUUGUAGUUGUAGUGUUAAGUAACACAAAUGAAUGUUCCAUUAAUUUUCAUGUAAUUAUGUUAAAAGAGCUGUAACUUUUUAGAUUAA